UGGGGAAUAUUGGACAAUGGGGGCAACCCUGAUCCAGCAAUGCCACGUGUGUGAAGAAGGCCUGCGGGUUGUAAAGCACUUUUAGGUAUGAGGAAGUACUGUUAGCUAAUAAGUAGCGGUAUUGACGUUAGUACCAGAAAAAGCACCGGCUAACUCUGUGCCAGCAGCCGCGGUAAUACAGAGGGUGCGAGCGUUAAUCGGAAUUAUUGGGCGUAAAGGGCAAGUAGGGUGGUUAGAUAAGUCAGAUGUGAAAGCCCUGGGCUCAACCUGGGAACGGCAUUUGAGACUGUCUAGCUCGAGUAGGGGAGAGGGAAGUGGAAUUUCCGGUGUAGCGGUGAAAUGCGUAGAUAUCGGAAGGACACCAGUGGCGAAGGCGACUUCCUGGCCUACUACUGACACUGAGGAGCGAAAGCGUGGGUAGCGAACAGGAUUAGAUACCCUGGUAGUCCACGCCGUAAACGAUGAGAACUAGCUGUUGGUUGGGCAAGACCAAUUAGUAGCGAAGCUAACGCGAUAA
rnacentral:rRNA from 1 species